UCAAGAAACUUCCACAAUGGACGAAAGUCUGAUGGAGCGACGCCGCGUGACUGAUGAAGUCCUUCGGGACGUAAAGGUCUUUUAUGGGGGAGGAAGUAAUUGACGUUACCCCAUGAAUAAGGAGCUCCUAACUCUGUGCCAGCAGGAGCGGUAAUACAGAGGCUCCAAGCGUUAUCCGGAAUCAUUGGGCGUAAAGGGUGUGUAGGCGGUCGUGUUAGUCGUUUGUGAAAGGCCGUGGGCUUAACCCAUGGACCGCAGACGAAACGGCACGACUGAGAGGAUGUGAGAGGUAUAUGGAACUCAUGGUGUAGGGGUGAAAUCCGUUGAUAUCAUGGGGAACACCAAAUGCGAAGGCAAUAUACUGGCACACUCCUGACGCUGAAACACGAAAGCGUGGGAAUCGAACGGGAUUAGAUACCCCCGUAGUCC
rnacentral:rRNA from 1 species